rnacentral:rRNA from 1 species
AUUGAACGCUGGCGGCAGGCCUAACACAUGCAAGUCGAGCGGUUGAAGGGAGCUUGCUCCCUGAUUCAGCGGCGGACGGGUGAGUAAUGCCUAGGAAUCUGCCUAUUAGUGGGGGACAACGUUUCGAAAGGAACGCUAAUACCGCAUACGUCCUACGGGAGAAAGCAGGGCACCUUCGGGCCUUGCGCUAAUAGAUGAGCCUCGGUCGGAUUAGCUUGUUGGUGAGGUAAUGGCCCACCAAGGCGCCGAUCCGUAACUGGUCUGAGAGGAUGAUCAGUAACACUGGAACUGGGACACGGUCCAGACUCCUACGGGAGGCAGCAGUGGGGAAUAUUGGACAAUGGGCGAAAGCCUGAUCCAGCCAUGCCGCGUGUGUGAAGAAGGUCUUCGGAUUGUAAAGCACUUUAAGUUGGGAGGAAGGGUUGUAGAUUAAUACUCUGCAAUUUUGACGUUACCGACAGAAUAAGCACCGGCUAACUCUGUGCCAGCAGCCGCCGUAA